GCUCCUCUCCUAGACCUCACUUAAGGGCUGACUGCCACUGGGGAAGGAUCUCUGGCUGGAGAUUACUCCUUUUGAAGUUUUCUACUGUGAGCUAGGAAAUGGUGUUACAAACCCUUUGGCAUCCGAGACUUGGCUCCACCACUCAGCACUUGUUUGUGACAGAGCACAAACUUCACUCAUGAGAAACAGCUUCCUCUCAUCGUAAACUGCUUCCUCUUUGUCUCCUUGAAUAUGAACAGAGAUCAGGAACAUAUCUGUCUCUGUUUCAUUCACUUGUGAAACAGGGGCUCUCAGAGGCUCAGCAGGACAGCCAGGCCUCCAUCUGUUGUGCAGAGAGUUGAGACUGCUGCAGGGUAAGAUGCUGGCCCACCACAGGCUGUUGGAGAUCUUGUCACAUCAAAAUUGGUGACUGGAAGAUGUGGAAGUAAUGGGGAGAGUGUCCACAUACCUGGCGUUUCAGAAGUUCUUUGAGGAAACCAGUCUCUUUGAGAUAACUAUAGAGCCGAGGCUUCAGGAAUGAGUUGCAUUGAUCCUGUUUCUGGAGAUCAGUCAUAGUGGUAAACAGCAAACCUCUGUGAUUUAUGACUGGGCUUGCUUGCUGAUAGUACCUUGGAGAUGUCUGAGCACCUGCAGCUGGAGAGCCGGCUUUAAGAACCAGGCAUUUAAACCUUUCAGGUACAAUUUUCUCAACAAUUCUCAUUUAUGAGGUGAAAACAAAUGGGAUAAGAUGGGGAUUAUUGCCAGUGUUACUAGUCACUGCCCAGUGGUGUUUCUCAAUUUAUAAUAUUCUUUAAUGACCUUUUCCCUCAUGCCAUAUUUGAUCAACAGUUUAACAAUGGUUGAACAUUCAUAAUUUCUAGUAAUACCAAUAAUAAUGAAGGGAAAGUGCCAGGAACUACUAUGCAUGACAUAGAUUUGAGACAGUUCAUGGAAAGUUUUCUGGUAAUAUUGUUGCAUUAUUGACUGAUAACAUGAUUUCAUAUAAUCUAUCUGAAGAACACAGGCAACGUAUGCAAGUGAUAUUUAGUCAUCCAAAAUGGCCGGAAUAUAAAAUAAGGUAAAACUUGUGAGCUCUAAGUUUAAUUAAUUUGUUUACUUGCUAUCAUACAUAAUGAAAACAUGAGUACAAUUCAAUAUGCUCAUUGUACAGGCUGUUUUUUUCUUUAUGCUUGACAAUACAGAUGUAAAAUCAUCUUGUACUAAAGAUAAACUUCUCAGUGAGCAAAGACUUUCCUUAAACACCAAGCCUUAAAUUCAAGCAUUUUCACUGUGAAGUAAGUGGUGCAAAGAUAAAUUUGGCCACACAGUGUUGGAUGUUGCCAUCAUGUUGAUAGAAAUGGCUGUGCAGCACUACAGCUUCACUUUUGACUGUAUACCAGGGAGCAGAUUGCUAAGGGGGAAGGCUACCACUUUCUGAGGGCACUGCUACAUCUGUCUCUUCGUAUUGAUGGGAUGUUUCAGCAUAUCUAAGAUUCAUAAGAUGAUUUGUAACAUUAAAUUCUCUGAAACAAAUGCAGCAGCAGCAAAAAAAUGUGGGAAAGCCCUGCAGGUAAAUGGCACAUCUGUAUUGAUCAAGAACCACUUAACAAGGCAUAGAAAACAUGCCACUAUUCAUAAGCAGUGUUUGAAGGCACAGAUUUUCAAAGGCAAGAGGAAUCAUGAUUCAAGAUUCUGACAUUCUUUGCAAGAUGGACCAGAGGAGUCCUCUGGUGCAAAGCUAACAGCUGUGUUUCAGCUAGGACAUAUCUUCUAGGAAAUUUAGCCUAUCCUUACUUUAUAGUAAGCAGUUAAAAGAAAAGUCAUCUUGGUCCUUCGUAAUGUGUUCCUGUCACUAAUAACACUCAGAAGUAAUCUACUACUCUACUAUUCUCUACUAAUCACAUCAUAGAUGUUAUGAGUGAUUCAUCCAACUUCAGGCACCUCCAAUAGAGGUCUACAACUGUGUGUGUCGCAACAGGUACCUUUUACAGGCACUGGAGCAAAUAGAAAUGUUAAGGGAGUGAUUCAUCUAACCUGUUUUAGACAUCUACUCUAGACUUAGAUGAAUUGUGCUUUACCAUCCGCUGAGAAUAUUGCUUAGAUCUGUAUUGACAUGCAUAGCUUCUAGAUGGAGCAGCUCAGAUAGAGACAUCUAUAUUUAUCUAGAUGAAUCCUAUCAUCAUACAGGCCUUUGUUCUGCUGAAGAGUUUGGCCUUCCCCAGCUGGAUACUUUUGGACUGUGAGCAACUAUCCCUUAGCUUUCCCUGCCCUUGUUAAGGGAGAUAGGACAGGAUCUGUUAGUAUUUGACCUGUUUCCUAAUACUGUAAACAAUUUUUACAGACUUCAAUUUUUCAUUUUCCUCCUGUAAAUGUCAGAAUUAGACACAAUAUUAGAGAGAUGAUCAUAUAUCAGGAUGGUAAAUAUAGCAGUAGUAAGAACAAUAGUAUGUGACUAGCUGUACUAGGUCAUACUCAAGGUCUGUUUAGAUUAAUGGCUUGUCUUUGACAGUGGUGUGUAGUGGAAUGAUUUGGGAAAAGUAUAAAGGAGGAAAGAAGUGAAUGAUAGUUUCUGAACUCCUCUACAGGCCUUCAGCUCUAUGACAAAUUCAGACAUCCCUGUGCUUAGGAGUGCUCCACAGAAGGUGCUCAUAAGAAUUUGUCUCAUUAGCAUAAGUUUUAGUAUCCAUAAUAUUGAGUGCCAGUGAGUUUAACAGUUUAAAUAUGGAGCAUUAAAAUAAAAAAAAAAACCUUUUGUUUUGAAUCUGCCACAUUCUGUUUUCCUUUCAUGUCCUCUGCUUCUUAUCAUGAGACAUAGUGGAAAAAAAUAUUCAGCAGUAUAAGCUUCUUGCUUAGAUCCUGUUUAUCUACAUCAGCUUUUCUUGCUGCAGCACUGAGCAGCAGAUCAUCUGCUCCAAAA